UACGUAGGGUGCAAGCGUUGUCCGGAAUCAUUGGGCGUAAAGCGCGCGUAGGUGGCUUCGUAAGUCCGUUGUGAAAGUCAAAGGCUCAACCUUUGAAUGCCGAUGGAUACUGCGAAGCUAGAGUACGGAAGAGGCGAGUGGAAUUCCUGGUGUAGCGGUGAAAUGCGCAGAUAUCAGGAGGAACACCAAUAGCGAAGGCAGCUCGCUGGGACGUUACUGACACUAAGGCGCGAAAGCGUGGGGAGCGAACAGG
rnacentral:rRNA from 1 species